rnacentral:rRNA from 1 species
UACAGAGGGUGCAAGCGUUGUUCGGAAUUAUUGGGCGUAAAGGGCGCGUAGGCGGCCUGCUAAGUCGAACGUGAAAUCCCUGGGCUCAACCCAGGAACUGCGUCCGAUACUGGUUGGCUUGAAUCCGGGAGAGGGAUGCGGAAUUCCAGGUGUAGCGGUGAAAUGCGUAGAUAUCUGGAGGAACACCGGUGGCGAAGGCGGCAUCCUGGACCGGCAUUGACGCUGAGGCGCGAAAGCCAGGGGAGCAAACGGG